GCGCCGCCGACAGCGGCGCGAUCUCGGGGUUCAUGGGCGGCGCGGCGUUGGCCGGAGGGGCGGCCUGGGCGCCGGCCGGAGCCACCAAAUCCUGCUGGGUGACCGGGCGGGGCUGCAGGGCCUGGCUGCUGAGCGUGGUGUGCGUCUGGGCGAUGCUGUGGUUGUAGUUGGUCACCGUGCCCACCGUGGGCGCCAGCGUCUGCUCGGUGGCCGUGGCCGUGGAGCUGAGCGUCAUCACCUUGGCCUGGUUGCGGAACUGAGCGUUCUGCUCCAGCAGCACCUCGUUGGUGGCCAGCAGGUUGUUCACCUGCUUCUUGAGGUCCUCCACGCGCUUCCGCAGCAGCACGUUCUCCUCCUCCAGCAGCCGGUACUCCACGGCCCGCGGGCUGGCGAAGCCGUACUCGUAGCUCUCGUAGAGCCCCUCGGCCCGCCGCCGUUUCAGCACCGGCUCGUCGGGCUCGUAGAGGCCGUCGUAGGGCUCGUAACGCCGGCCCUGCUCGCGGCCCCGCGCCUCGUACUCGUAGUCCCGCUGCAGGUGCUGGAAUUUACACUUGGCGCCGCGCUGGCAGUCCCCUUUGAGGAAAUCCCUGCAGAUGGGCACCUCCUCCUUGCUGUUGGGCAAAUCCGCCGGCGACAGCCCCAAGCCGGCGGCCACCUUCUGCCGCAGGCGCGGCGGCAGCUCGCCCGUCUUCUUGUAGCAGUCCUCGUCCUCCUUGGUGCCGUGGAUGAAGCGGCAGUUGAGGCGCACGCACUCCUUGUUCUGGAAGUCGUGGCAGAAGAUGAACUCGUUCUUGCGCACGCCCAGGUUGGUGACCUCGGAGAUGUCGGGGUGCCGGAAGCGGCAGCGCUUGCCGCGCUUGCAGACGUUGCGCAGGAAGUCGCGGCAGAUGUCGUCGUCGGUGCCCGCCGAGGCCUCGUCGCCGCUCCGCCGCCGCCGCCGCCGCCGCCGCCCGUGGGGCGAGUAACCAUCGCGGUCCGGCAUGGUCCCGGGAGGGGAGGCGGCUGGGGAGAGGGAGGGAGGGGUGAGGGAGGGACUGGG
rnacentral:lncRNA from 1 species